AUUCACCCGUGUCUUUUGCGUACUUCUUGUUUCCUGGGCGGGUUCGCCCGCCACCAGGACAAACCAUAAACCUUUUGUAAUGGCAAUCAGCGUCAGUAACAACAUAAUAAUUACAACUUUCAACAACGGAUCUCUUGGUUCUGGCAUCGAUGAAGAACGCAGCGAAAUGCGAUAAGUAGUGUGAAUUGCAGAAUUCAGUGAAUCAUCGAAUCUUUGAACGCACAUUGCGCCCUUUGGUAUUCCAAAGGGCAUGCCUGUUCGAGCGUCAUUUGUACCCUCAAGCUUUGCUUGGUGUUGGGCGUCUUUUUGUCUCCGGCUUGCUGGAGACUCGCCUUAAAGUGAUUGGCAGCCGGCCUACUGGUUUCGGAGCGCAGCACAAGUCGCGCUCUCUUCCAGCCAAGGUCAGCGUCCACCAAGCCACAUUUUCCACUUUUGACCUCGGAUCAGGUAGGGAU
rnacentral:rRNA from 1 species